UAGUUGGUGGGGUAAAGGCCUACCAAGGCGACGAUCAGUAGCGGGUCUGAGAGGAUGAUCCGCCACACUGGAACUGAGACACGGUCCAGACUCCUACGGGAGGCAGCAGUGGGGAAUUUUGGACAAUGGGGGCAACCCUGAUCCAGCCAUUCCGCGUGAGUGAAGAAGGCCUUCGGGUUGUAAAGCUCUUUCAGCUGGAACGAAACGGUACGCUCUAACAUAGCGUGCUAAUGACGGUACCAGCAGAAGAAGCACCGGCUAACUACGUGCCAGCAGCCGCGGUAAUACGUAGGGUGCGAGCGUUAAUCGGAAUUACUGGGCGUAAAGCGUGCGCAGGCGGAUUGUUAAGCAAGACGUGAAAUCCCCGGGCUUAACCUGGGAAUGGCGUUUUGAACUGGCAGUCUAGAGUGUGUCAGAGGGGGGUAGAAUUCCACGUGUAGCAGUGAAAUGCGUAGAGAUGUGGAGGAGUACCAAUGGCGAAGGCAGCCCCCUGGGAUAACACUGACGCUCAUGUACGAAAGCGUGGGUAGCAAACAGGAUUAGAUACCCUGGUAGUCCACGCCCUAAACGAUGUCAACUGGUUGUUGGGGGAGUGAAAUCCCUUAGUAACGAAGCUAACGCGUGAAGUUGACCGCCUGGGGAGUACGGUCGCAAGAUUAAAACUCAAAGGAAUUGACGGGGACCCGCACAAGCGGUGGAUGAUGUGGAUUAAUUCGAUGCAACGCGAAAAACCUUACCUACCCUUGACAUGUCCAGAAUCCUGCAGAGAUGCGGGAGUGCCCGAAAGGGAAUUGGAACACAGGUGCUGCAUGGCUGUCGUCAGCUCGUGUCGUGAGAUGUUGGGUUAAGUCCCGCAACGAGCGCAACCCUUAUCAUUAGUUGCUACGCAAGGGCACUCUAAUGAGACUGCCGG
rnacentral:rRNA from 1 species